rnacentral:rRNA from 1 species
UACGUAGGGGGCAAGCGUUGUCCGGAUUUAUUGGGCGUAAAGCGCGCGUAGGCGGCAAGGUAUGUCGUGCGUGAAAUCUCCCGGCUUAACUGGGAGGGGCCGUGCGAAACUGCCUGGCUUGAGGUCGGAAGGGGAAAGUGGAAUUCCGGGUGUAGUGGUGGAAUACGUAGAUAUCCGGAGGAACACCAGCGGCGAAGGCGGCUUCUGGUCCGAUUCUGACGCUGAGGCGCGAAAGCGUGGGGAGCGAGUCCGG